rnacentral:rRNA from 1 species
CCUACGGGUGGCAGCAGUGAGGAAUAUUGGUCAAUGGCCGGAAGGCUGAACCAGCCAUGCCGCGUGAAGGUCAGUGCCCUAUGGGCGUUAAACUUCUUUUGUGCGGGAGCAAUAAUGGUCACGUGUGGCCAGACGAGAGUACCGUACGAAUAAGCAUCGGCUAACUCCGUGCCAGCAGCCGCGGUAAUACGGGGGAUGCAAGCGUUAGCCGGGUUUAUUGGGUUUAAAGGGUGCGUAGGCUGUGAGGUAAGUCAGCGGUGAAAUGCCCCCGCUCAACGGGGUGAAGUGCCAUUGAUACUGCCUGGCUGGAAUGCGGAUGCCGGGAGAGGAAUGUGUGGUGUAGCGGUGAAAUGCAUAGAUAUCACACAGAACACCGAUUGCGAAGGCAUCUCACGAAUCCGCGAUUGACGCUGAUGCACGAAAGCGUGGGUAUCAAACAGGAUUAGAUACCCGUGUAGUC